rnacentral:rRNA from 1 species
ACGUAGGGUGCGAGCGUUAAUCGGAAUUACUGGGCGUAAAGCGUGCGCAGGCGGUUCGCUAAGACUGGUGUGAAAUCCCCGGGCUUAACCUGGGAAUGGCGUUUGUAACUGGCGGGCUAGAGUACGGCAGAGGGGGGUGGAAUUUCAGGUGUAGCGGUGAAAUGCGUAGAGAUGUGGAGGAAUACCGGUGGCGUAGGCAGCCCCCUGGGCCGAUACUGACGCUCA